UGUAAUUUGACAUUCGAAAUUAAUUAUAGCCGAAAAAAAGGCGAAGCACCAAACCUGUUUCUGAGGUUAAAGGUUGGCAAAUUUUCAGUGCAAUAAGGAAAAUGCUGGGGACAGUGGACACAAAAGCUUACGGAAUAAUAAUGGAGGACUGCAGAUACAUAUCCCAUGUCAACAUUAAUUAGGGUCCGGUAUUAUUCGCAUCUAAUGCCGUGCCACAUUGUCCAGGGUCCAGAUAAACAUAUGACUCCAAAACAGGUCACUUUGGGGACAGAGCAAUUAAGAUGUUUAGCGUUCGGAAUAUUUUUCGUAAAUGGAAGGAGACAAAGGGUUUUGUUAUGCCAAUCAACUAGGAGGAAUUUGUUUUGACAGCCUUUUUUUUGUCUCCAUCCCAUUCUUGCACAGCCAUUCAUAAUUUAAGCCGAUUUAAAAAGUGGCGCCAGUUAAGUCGACCGUGGGCGUUCAGACGACACAGGAGUGGGCGUGGCACUGGCUUGCAUCACGGCUCACAAAC